rnacentral:rRNA from 1 species
UUGGAGGGCAAGUCUGGUGCCAGCAGCCGCGGUAAUUCCAGCUCCAAUAGCGUAUAUUAAAGUUGUUGCAGUUAAAAAGCUCGUAGUUGAAUUUCGGGAUUCUACCGUUGGUCGGGCUAACAAGUCUGUACUGGUGUGUAGAAUUUCUACCUUCUGGGGAACUAUCAUGUUAUUAAUUUAGCGUGGUGGGAAACCAGGACCUUUACCUUGAAAAAAUUAGAGUGUUCAAAGCAGGCUUACAGUCUGAAUACAUUAGCAUGGAAUAAUAGAAUAGGACGGUGGUGCUGUUUUGUUGGUUUCUGAAUCACCGUAAUGAUUAAUAGGGAUAGUUGGGGGCAUUAGUAUUCAAUUGUCAGAGGUGAAAUUCUUGGAUUUAUUGAAGACUAACUUCUGCGAAAGCAUUUGCCAAGGAUGUUUUCAUUAAUCAAGAACGAAAGUUAGGGGAUCGAAGACGAUCAGAUACCGUCGUAGUCUUAACCAUAAACUAUGCCGACUAGGGAUCGGAUGAUGUUAUUUUUAAUGACUCAUUCGGCGCCUUACGGGAAAC